rnacentral:lncRNA from 1 species
UCUUUUUUACGCGCACGCAAAUCUUUUUUACACACAAAUUCUUUUUACACAUACAAAUCCUGAUUGACAAGUACAAAAUAUUUAUGACCACAUUUUGAGUCCAUACGGUUGUCGGAGCCUGUGCUUACUUGUAAGCGCGGCAAUGGCGGAGGAGCGCCGCUGAAAAACUUAUUACUUUUUCUGGGUCACAAAAUAAACUUUUAAGAUAUUUUCAGGCGAGAAUGUAGCUGUGUAAAUUUCAAAUAUCUACUCGAUUUAUCAAGACAUCAUAUAUUUGCAAAAAUGCUCCGACGUUUUCAGAGACGUCCAUUUUUUUCAUGCUUUGUGGCAGCUUAAGAACAUCUGUGGCAUCUAUUAAUGUCAAAUCUAGCCUUUAUUUAACAACAUAAGCAAACUCUAUGUUACAAUGAUUGCACAGCCAUUAAGGAUCAAAUCAGUUUCUGAAAAAUGUUCUGUUUUUUCUCCCUCUGCUUGCUUCUUACUGUCUUUGAGGCCGAUCGGGACCAGCACUCCUGCUGUUGGACAGAAAGACAUCAACUUGAGAUAUGACUGCACUGUGCUGUUGCUGGUGACCACAGUUAAUUCUACAAGACAUGCUGUGACAACAGGAGAGAUGAGUCCUCCGUCACAGAUGGUGUGGUCAGUGAAGAUGGUCGCCUGCAGGUUCAAGCUCAUUGCAUCUCCAACCCACAUCCACUGACACUGUACUUAAGGGAAGUUAAAGACUUUCUUCUGCACCUACAUUUGGAUCACCUCGAUCCAUGACAGUCAUUCAGGCAGUGAUGCCUGGACUGGAAACAAGCAUCCUUAAAAUAAUACAACAUUCCAGCUCAUGUGUUGGAAUGGAAAACAAAUGUGUUGUUUAAAUCAGAGACUGCACUUGUGACAGAACAAUAAAUAUUUUAUUUUGAUUAUAUAAGUAAUGUAAGUACAAAACAAACUUGUUGUAGGCCUAAACUUAUUUUCAGAAUAAUUAAAUCUGAGACUUUGUUUCAUUGUAAGAUUAUAAUUGUUUGUUGUUCAGCAGAAUAUGUCCAGUAUGUUGGCUGUUAUACUUUGUUGUGUUUGAAAAUAAAAGUUGGGCUGAUUUUAACAUCAUUACAAAAAGUGUUGUUAAUUAUUUUUAAUCAUAUUCAGGUUACCACAAAUUGUUUUUUCAUUUAGUUGAACUUGAAAUGUUUGUCAGUAGGUAAACAAUUAGAAUUGUACAGUCAGAGAUAUCAAGUUAUUCUUAAUACUGCAGACUUGCAAUGUAUAAGUUGUCCUAAUUUAGUCAUUUUUAGCUAAGCUUUACUCAAUUUUUUUGAGGCAACGAGUUUCCAUAAUUUUUUUGAGUUCUGGGAACUAAUUACAUUUUACAGUGCAGUUAACCUGAGCACUCCGAGCAAAACUACAGUACAGUCUGUGUAUGUAGUACACAGACUCGGAAUUUCGAGUUAAUAAGAUAAAUAAUAAAAUUUCAAGAAAAUAUCUCGAAAUUUUGUGUUAUAGAUACUUUUUUUGCAGCGGAAUCGGGCUACUAUAUCAUCCUAGUCCAUCGCCA